CACGUAGAAGACUAGUGUUAUUCAUCUUUAUUAGGUUUAAAGGGUACCUAGACGGAAAUCAAGCCAUAAUAGGGACUAAUUUCUAGAGUUUUAUGAAAGAAGGGCGAAUUUCCCGGAGGAAAGUUGAUAUUUGUGAUACUGGAAGGACGGGUAACGGCGAAGGCAACCUUUGAUGUAAACUGACGUUGAGGAUCGAGCCU
rnacentral:rRNA from 1 species